CUCUUUGAACACUCAAGAACCAUUUCCCCAAAGGUUUUGGGAUAUUUGGGGUUAAACGUCCUUGGGUUUGAAUAGUACUGGGCUGGGUGACCUCCUGGGAAGUCCAAAUUUAGUCGCUU
rnacentral:rRNA from 1 species